rnacentral:rRNA from 1 species
AUGAACGCUGGCGGCGUGCCUAAUACCUGCAAGUCGAGCGCACAGAUGAGGAGCUUGCUCCUCUGACGUUAGCGGCGGACGGGUGAGUAACACGUGGAUAACCUACCUAUAAGACUGGGAUAACUUCGGGAAACCGGAGCUAAUACCGGAUAAUAUAUUGAACCGCAUGGUUCAAUAGUGAAAGACGGUUUUGCUGUCACUUAUAGAUGGAUCCGCGCCGCAUUAGCUAGUUGGUAAGGUAACGGCUUACCAAGGCAACGAUGCGUAGCCGACCUUAGAGGGUGAUCGGCCACACUGGAACUGAGACACGGUCCAGACUCCUACGGGAGGCAGCAGUAGGGAAUCUUCCGCAAUGGGCGAAAGCUUGACGGAGCAACGCCGCGUGAGUGAUGAAGGUCUUCGGAUCGUAAAACUCUGUUAUUAGGGAAGAACAAAUGUGUAAGUAACUAUGCACGUCUUGACGGUACCUAAUCAGAAAGCCACGGCUAACUACGUG